GAAAGCUUGCUUUCUUUGCUGGCGACCGGCGCACGGGUGAGUAACACGUAUCCAACCUACCCUUUACUCGGGGAUAGCCUUUCGAAAGAAAGAUUAAUACCCGAUAGCAUAAUGAUUCCGCAUGGUUUCAUUAUUAAAGGAUUCCGGUAAAGGAUGGGGAUGCGUUCCAUUAGGUUGUUGGUGGGGUAACGGCCCACCAAGCCUUCGAUGGAUAGGGGUUCUGAGAGGAAGGUCCCCCACAUUGGAACUGAGACACGGUCCAAACUCCUACGGGAGGCAGCAUG
rnacentral:rRNA from 1 species